rnacentral:misc_RNA from 1 species
AGAACGCGAUAGUUAAAUCCUAUAUAAGAAGGUUCUAUGAGGAAACGAAGAUCCAUAUCAACACUUAGACAAACCAGCACUAAUCAUUAGGAUCACAAAAUAAGGCCUGCUCCAGCAUGUUUGCUUGAGCAAUGAUUUGCCCAUGGCAAAUUGGGGCUCUAUAAUGGCUUCUUCAUUUAUCUUUUUCUUCUCCAUUACCGUUAUGCUUAAAUGUCCUCGUGUUCAUAUGUUGCUUGUCAUUUU